rnacentral:rRNA from 1 species
UAAUACGUAGGGUGCAAGCGUUGUCCGGAAUUAUUGGGCGUAAAGAGCUCGUAGGCGGUUGGUCGCGUCUGCUGUGAAAACCCGAGGCUCAACCUCGGGCCUGCAGUGGGUACGGGCCAACUAGAGUGCGGUAGGGGAGAUCGGAAUUCCUGGUGUAGCGGUGGAAUGCGCAGAUAUCAGGAGGAACACCAAUGGCGAAGGCAGAUCUCUGGGCCGUAACUGACGCUGAGGAGCGAAAGCGUGGGGAGCGAACAGGAUUAGAUACCCUGGUAGUCCACGCCGUAAACGGUGGGAACUAGUUGUAGGGGCCAUUCCACGGCUUCUGUGACGAAGCUAACGCAUUAAGUUCCCCGCCUGGGGAGUACGGCCGCAAGGCUAAAACUCAAAGGAAUUGACGGGGGCCCGCACAAGCGGCGGAGCAUGCGGAUUAAUUCGAUGCAACGCGAAGAACCUUACCAAGGCUUGACAUAUACAGGAAACGUGCAGAGAUGUACGCCCCGCAAGGUCUGUAUAC